rnacentral:rRNA from 1 species
AGUGAAGCCGCGAAUAGCUCAUUACAACAGCCGUCGUUUCUUGGAUCUCCGCAAAUACUUGGAUAACUGUGGUAAUUCUAGAGCUAAUACACGCACCCGAGCUCCGACCGAAAGGGACGAGCGCAUUUAUUAGCAACAAAACCAAUCAGAGCUUGCUCUGUGGUUUGGUGAAUCUGAAUAACUGAGCGAAUCGCUUCGGUCUUCGUACCGGCGAUGCAUCUUUCAAGUGUCUGCCUUAUCAACUUUCGAUGGUAGUUUAUGUGACUACCAUGGUUGUAACGGGUAACGGAGAAUUAGGGUUCGACUCCGGAGAGGGAGCCUGAGAAACGGCUACCACUUCUAAGGAAGGCAGCAGGCGCGAAAAUUACCCACUAUCAGCACGGAGAUGAGGUAGUAACGAAAAAUAACGAGCGGAGCUUCUUACGAGGUUUCGCAUCGGAAUGAGAACAAUGUAAACCUUUUAGCGAGGAUCUAGCAGAGGGCAAGUCUGGUGCCAGCAGCCGCGGUAAUUCCAGCUCUGCCAGUGUAUAUCUAUGCUGCUGCGGUUAAAAAGCUCGUAGUUGGAUCUGCGUGCACGGUGGCGGUCGGCCUUCGGGUCUGCACUGCCGACCUGCACUGAACUGUCAGCUCAGCGUCGGUGCCCUUAACCGGGUGUCGUCGUCGACUGGCGAGUUUACUUUGAAAAAAUUAGAGUGCUCAAAACAAGCGUUUCGCUUGAAUACUGGUGCAUGGAAUAAUAGAAUAGGACCUUGGUUCUAUUUUGUUGGUUUUCGGAGCAAAGGUAAUGAUUAAGAGGGACAGUCGGGGGCAUUCGUAUUGCGACGCUAGAGGUGAAAUUCUUGGAUCGUCGCAAGACGGACUACUGCGAAAGCAUU